GAUGAACGCUGGCGGCGUGCCUAAUACAUGCAAGUCGAACGAGGAACCCAGUACUUGUACAGGGAUCUCCUAGUGGCGAACGGGUGAGUAACGCGUUGGUGACCUACCCCAAAGAGAGGGACAACAGUCCGAAAGGACUGCUAAUACCUCAUGUGAUCGCGAGAGUUAAAGGUCUUGCGAUUAAAGGAGUAAUCCGCUUUGGGAGGGGCCUGCGUCCCAUCAGCUAGUUGGUAGGGUAAUGGCCUACCAAGGCAAAGACGGGUAGGGGACCUGAGAGGGUGACCCCCCACACUGGUACUGAAACACGGACCAGACACCUACGGGUGGCAGCAGUAGGGAAUAUUGCGCAAUGGGCGAAAGCCUGACGCAGCAACGCCGCGUGCACGAUGAAGGUCUUCGGAUCGUAAAGUGCUUUUAUGAGGGAAGAGAAAGGACUGUACCUCAUGAAUAAGGAUCGGCUAACUACGUGCCGGCAGCCGCGGUAACACGUAGGAUCCAAGCGUUAUCCGGAUUUACUGGGCGUAAAGCGCGUGCAGGUGGUUUGGUAAGUUGGAUGUUAAAUCUCCCGGCUCAACUGGGAGCUGUCGUUCAAAACUGCCAAGCUAGAGGACGGUAGAGGGAGGUGGAAUUCAGGGUGUAGUGGUGAAAUGCGUAGAUAUCCUGAGGAACACCAGUGGCGAAGGCGGCCUCCUGGCCCGCUCCUGACACUAAGACGCGAAAGCUAGGGGAGCGAACGGGAUUAGAUACCCCGGUAGUCCUAGCCGUAAACGAUGGGUACUAAGUGUUGGCCGGUCGACCCGGUCAGUGCUGUAGCUAACGCGUUAAGUACCCCGCCUGGGGAGUACGACCGCAAGGUUGAGACUCAAAGGAAUUGACGGGGGCCCGCACAAGCGGUGGAGCAUGUGGUUUAAUUCGACGCAACGCGAAGAACCUUACCCAGGCUUGACAUCCUAGAGACAACCUCAGAGAUGGGGUCUUCCUUCGGGAUUCUAGGACAGGUGCUGCAUGGCUGUCGUCAGCUCGUGUCGUGAGAUGUUGGGUUAAGUCCCGCAACGAGCGCAACCCUUACCCUUAGUUGCCGGCGGUUCGGCCGGGCCCUCUAAGGGGACUGCCCCGGAAAACGGGGAGGAAGGUGGGGAUGACGUCAAGUCCUCAUGGCCCUUACGCCUGGGGCUACACACGUGCUACAAUGGUCGGUACAAAGGGCAGCGAACCCGCGAGGGGGUGCAAAUCCCAAAAAGCCGGCCUCAGUUCGGAUUGCAGGCUGCAACUCGCCUGCAUGAAGUUGGAAUCGCUAGUAAUGGCGUAUCAGAUAUGACGCCGUGAAUACGUUCCCGGGUCUUGUACACACCGCCCGUCAAGCCACCUGAAUCAGUGGUACCCGAAGUUGCUGUUCUAACCGCAAGGAGGAAGGCACCUAAGGUAAAACUGGUGAGGAGGGCU
rnacentral:rRNA from 1 species